rnacentral:rRNA from 1 species
CAGUAGCCACGGGAAUACAGAGGGUGCAAGCGUUAAUCGGAAUUACUGGGCGUAAAGCGCGCGUAGGUGGUUUGUUAAGUUGGAUGUGAAAUCCCCGGGCUCAACCUGGGAACUGCAUCCAAAACUGGCAAGCUAGAGUAUGGUAGAGGGUGGUGGAAUUUCCUGUGUAGCGGUGAAAUGCGUAGAUAUAGGAAGGAACAUCAGUGGCGAAGGCGACCACCUGGACUGAUACUGACACUGAGGUGCGAAAGCGUGGGGAGCAAACAGGAUUAGAUACCCCCGUAGUCCCUGUCUCUUAUAC